ACGGUUUGCAGAACAGACCUUAGUAAAGCAGUUUUAGUUAAGUAGCCUCAGUUCCAGAGUUAUCAUCUGAUUACCCUUCGUCGUGAGUCUCCUCCUUCAAUGCCUUAGUAAGCUUUUCUAUCCGAGCAGGCCUCUUUCGUCGCCUUGUGUGACUCACAAAAUUUAGAAGGUAAAAAUAAUGUCUAAUAAAAUGACUGGUUCUGUAAAAUGGUUCAACGCCGAUAAAGGCUUCGGUUUUAUCUCUCCUGCUGAUGGCAGCAAGGACGUUUUCGUUCACUUCUCUGCGAUCCAAAGCAAUGAAUUCCGUACUCUGGAUGAAGGUCAAAAGGUUGAGUUCUCUGUAGAGAAUAGCCCUAAAGGCCCUUCCGCAGUAAACGUAGUCGCUAUCAACUAAUCUUAUAGAC
rnacentral:sRNA from 1 species